rnacentral:rRNA from 1 species
UACGAAGGGUGCAAACGUUAUUCGGAAUCACUGGGCGUAAAGCGCGUGUAGGCGGCCCGGUAAGUCCGCUGUGAAAGUCGGGGGCUCAACCCUCGGAAGCCGGUGGAUACUGUCGGGCUCGAGUACGGAAGAGGCGAGUGGAAUUCCUGGUGUAGCGGUGAAAUGCGCAGAUAUCAGGAGGAACACCAAUUGCGAAGGCAGCUCGCUGGGACGUAACUGACGCUGAGACGCGAAAGCGUGGGGAGCAAACAGG